rnacentral:rRNA from 1 species
CCUACGGGCGGCUGCAGUGAGGAAUAUUGGUCAAUGGGCGGGAGCCUGAACCAGCCAAGUCGCGUGAGGGACGACGGUCCUAUGGAUUGUAAACCUCUUUAGGCGGGGAGCAAUGCCGGGCACGUGUGCCCGGAGGGAGAGUACCCGCAGAAUAAGCAUCGACUAACUCCGUGCCAGCCGCCGCGGUAAUACGGAGGAUGCGAGCGUUAUCCGGAUUUAUUGGGUUUAAGGGGUGCGUAGGCGGAUUUUUAAGUCAGCGGUAAAAUGUCCGGGCUCAACCCGGGCCGGCCGUUGAAACUGGGGAUCUUGAGUGGGCGAGAAGUAUGCGGAAUGCGUGGUGUAGCGGUGAAAUGCAUAGAUAUCACGCAGAACUCCGAUUGCGAAGGCAGCAUACCGGCGCCCGACUGACGCUGAGGCACGAAAGCGUGGGGAUCGAACAGGAUUAGAUACCCGAGUAGUC